ensembl:snoRNA SNORA70 Small nucleolar RNA SNORA70
CUGCAGCCAGUUAAGCUGACCAAGUUUCUUUCCUCACGGGGGCCCAGUGUACAAUGGCUGCAAACAGCAGCUUCCUUGGUAGUGUAGGCAGCCUGUUUCUUAUAUGGGUCACUCUAAGGGACCUUGGAGACCAGA